AGAAUCAACGCUGGCGGCGUGCCUAACACAUGCAAGUCGCACGAGAAAGGGACUUCGGUCCUGAGUAAAGUGGCGCACGGGUGAGUAACACGUGAAUCAUCUACCUUCGAGUGGGGAAUAACUGAGAGAAAUCUUAGCUAAUACCGCAUAAUACCCACGGGUCAAAGCAGCAAUGCGCUUGAAGAGGAGUUCGCGGCAGAUUAGUUAGUUGGCGGGGUAAUGGCCCACCAAGACGAUGAUCUGUAUCCGGCCUGAGAGGGCGCACGGACACACUGGAACUGAAACACGGUCCAGACUCCUACGGGAGGCAGCAGUGGGGAAUUUUGCGCAAUGGGGGAAACCCUGACGCAGCAACGCCGCGUGGAGGAUGAAAUCCCUUGGGAUGUAAACUCCUUUCGAUAGGGAAGAUAAUGACGGUACCUAUAGAAGAAGCCCGGCUAACUCGCGCCAGCAGCCGC
rnacentral:rRNA from 1 species